rnacentral:lncRNA from 1 species
AUAAAUUUUAUAACUUAUAAAAUUAGUUAACUAUUAUUUAAUGGAUGAAAGGCACAUUACUUAAAAGAAUAUGGUUAACAAAAGGAUACAAGAAUAUAUUGAAAAAACUUACCCACCAAACCAUGUCCUUGUGCAUACCGGAAAAGAAGAACAAAUGCCAAAAUCCAACAUGCUGAAGCAGUCGGGAUGCAUGAAAAGAGCAUGGGCAUUGCCAAGUUUGGACCCAUUAAUCAAAGUAAGAAGCCGCCAUGUCAUUGGUCUCACCAAUUAAGGUAGAGGUUAAACGUGAGACCCACAACCGCUCAUUCAAACUUACCCUAAUUACCCUUAAAUGAAUGUCAGAGAAUCUCAUAGCCUCUAGAAAACCCUCUACCUUAUGCAAUAAGUUAUUUUGCCAAAGAAGACCAAAAAAAAAAAAAAAAAUAGAGAGAAAGAGAGAGAGAAUAUAUAAUUAGCAAAGUAAUUCAUUUUGUUUUUAUAUAUUUUUAAGGGUCUAAUUAGGUAUUUAGUGAGUUUCACACCGCAUAGACCAAGCAUGGUCAUUAGUGAAGCCAAUAAAAAUUAAUAAAAGAAAAAUUAUCAGCCAUAUAUUUUUAAAUAAUACUCGUAUCAAAUGUAUAUAAAUAUUUUUUAAGUGUAUCAUUUGUAUCUUCUAAAUUGAUAAAACACUUCUGUCGUCCACCAAUCCGUUAAAUUCCGUUAGAAAGUUAACAGAAUUAUAGUAAAUUGACCAUUUUGUCCUUGAAACUCAAAAUAA